CCAGAAAGCGGGAUAAGUGACGCAGUAUCCUAGUCAGGUAUGCCUUUUUUGAAGACGGGCCUAAAAAUCCGUCGCGGGCACAUCGAUGAAGUUCCUGGUGCUGGCUGCUGACGCCCAGUCGGGGGCUGGUACUGGGAGUUAAGGAGUGAGGGCGAGCCGCAAAGGCAUGCGGGCGUGGACCCUGACUCCGCGGAGACCCAAGUGCGUGGGAAAGCGUAAAAGCCGUACUAUGGCUUGGGGUGUGAACCUGCACGUGGUGAAAGCUGCGUGCAGUGUAGCCUGCCUUGAGUGGUAGCGGUGGAUGUCGUUGGCAGCCGGUACCUUAUAUCCCGGUGGGCCCAGGGGAAGGUAGCGGUGGACUGAAACCGUUACUGCAAAAGAGGCUAGAAAAAGGCCAUCCUGUCGAGGAAAACUCCUAGGCUGUCCGGUAACACCGGGGCAGUGCGGGGAUUGCAGUGUGGACUAAGUGGUAAUCCAGCCCCGGGACCGGCAACGUCCCGGAGGCAGCCCGAAGGGGAAACCGCCGGCCUGGCGACAGCCGGUGGCUGCCUGGGAAAACCUGCUGGACCUUAAGCCACAAUAUUUACCCGUGCUGCUGUCACUUAUCCCCGUGAUACA
rnacentral:sRNA from 1 species